UGCCAGACUCCUACGGGAGGCAGCAGUGGGGGAUAUUGCACAAUGGGGGGAACCCUGAUGCAGCGACGCCGCGUGGGUGAAGGAGUAUUUCGGUAUGUAAAGCCCUAUCGGCAGGGAAGAAGCAAGACGGUACCUGACUAAGAAGCCCCGGCUAACUACGUGCCAGCAGCCGCGGUAAUACGUAGGGGGCGAGCGUUAUCCGGAUUCACUGGGUGUAAAGGGAGCGUAGACGGCCAUGCAAGCCAGGGGUGAAAGCCCGGGGCCCAACCCCGGGACUGCUUUGGAAACUGUGUAACUGGAGUACAGGAGGGGCAGGCGGAAUUCCUGGUGUAGCGGUGAAAUGCGUAGAUAUCAGGAGGAACACCGGCGGCGAAGGCGGCCUGCUGGACUGAAACUGACGUUGAGGCUCGAAAGCGUGGGGAGCAAACAGGAUUAGAUACCCGAGUAC
rnacentral:rRNA from 1 species